UAACACAUGCAAGUCGAGCGGAAAGGCCCUUCGGGGUAAUCGAGCGGCGAACGGGUGAGUAACACGUGAGUAAUCUGCCCCUCAAUCAGGGAUAACCACGGGAAGCUGUGGCUAAUACCUGAUAUGACCACGUCUCGCAUGGGGUGUGGUGGAAAGAUUUUCCGGUGGGGGAUGUGCUCGCGGCUUAUCAGCUUGUUGGUGAGGUAGUGGCUCACCAAGGCUUCGACGGGUAGCCGGCCUGAGAGGCCGACCGGCCACAUUGGGACUGAGACACGGCCCAGACUCGUGCGGGAGUCAGCAGUGGGGAAUAUUGGACAAUGGGCGAAAGCCUGAUCCAGCAACGCCGCGUGAGGGAUGACGGCCUUCGGGUUGUAAACGUUUUUCACCUCUGACGAAGCGCAAGUGACGGUAAGGGGAGAAGAAGCACCGGCCAAGUAUGUGCCAGCAG
rnacentral:rRNA from 1 species